rnacentral:sRNA from 1 species
GGGAAAUUGGGCAAGCAAUCUAGCAUCCACUCUGCUGAACAUUAUGAACAACUGGGACAUUAAACGACAGAAGAGGAACUUCAACCCUCACUGGAUCUAAUCUCUAUGAAAAGGCCAACAGAAAGUGACUUCUCGAUCAAUACGAGUAAAAGAAUCAAACAGGAGAAUCAAACAGGAUGUACUGUAUGAAAGAAUCAAACAGGAUGUAACUGUAUGUUAAUGAACAGAUGUCAGAAGGAGAAAUAGACAUGUAAAUGUAAUUAAAAUCUGAUAACCUGUCUAAAAGUAACAGUUUACCUAGCAUAAUGCAAUCCUUUAUUUUACUAGAAUUUUCACGUUUUGAACCUCGAAAGUCAAAAACACACCUGCUACCCUCCUGACAAACAGGCACACCUUCAUCCAAAUGACGAUACAAUAGAGAUAAUUCGGUUGGUUGAUGUAUCUAGUGUGGUUGUCUAUUAAACUAAAUUUCAAGACUUGUUAUCAUCAGUAUAAAUACUUACUGUCGACAUCUCUCUUGACUUGAAUCAAAGUUCCACGUCACUUUUAAUCAAUCCUCCUUUUUCCAUGAAAUGUAGGAGUUCUGAGACUUCUAGUUAUAAUGCGUUUUGACCCCGGUCUUUACGUCCCGUCUUUACGCUCCGCAUUAUUUGAUAAACAUUUUAUGAAGACUU